CUUUUAAUUUCCAAUCGAUAUAAAAUUCGAAUUUUUUGUUUCUAUUAUUUUAAUUGAGAUUAUUACUUUUGAGUUUGUCAUCAAAAAAUCAUAAAUUUUUCGAUGGGAACUUCAGUGUCACAUCACAUUUUUGAAAGAUUCAGUUGUUGGCUCGGUGAUGUGAUUUGAAUUUCAUAAAAUUCAGCAAAGAACAGAAGUUAUCUGUCGUUUUGCUAAUGUAUGUAAUCCCAUCAUAAAUUCGAAAGUGUGCUCGGAAGAGUAAAUGAUUCAUGAUGAACUUUUUCUAGUGUUCUUAAGUGAUGUGAAUCAGAGGUGUUAUUGGCACUUUUUGGAGAAGUGCUGGCAUUUAUUUUAAGACAAUUUUCAAAAUUAUUUGUGAAUUUUAAUUUUGCAAGGGUCGCGCCUGAAUAUAAGAGAAAAUCGUGCUCGCCUAUCUGCGGUGCUGAUAAUAGCUCUGAUGUGACUACUGUAUCUAUCAACGUAUUUUUAAAGGUAUUCUAUUCAUCAAAGUGCUGUUUUCGGU